rnacentral:rRNA from 1 species
UACGUAGGGUGCGAGCGUUGUCCGGAAUUACUGGGCGUAAAGCGCGUGUAGGUGGUGGGACAAGUCUGCUGUGAAAGCGCCUGGCUUAACCGGGCGAGGUCGGCGGAAACUGUCCGACUAGAGGACGGUAGAGGGGGGUGGAAUUCCGCGUGUAGCAGUGAAAUGCGUAGAUAUGCGGAGGAACACCGAUGGCGAAGGCAAUCCCCUGGACCUGUACUGACGCUCAUGCACGAAAGCGUGGGGAGCAAACAGG